UACAGAGGGUGCGAGCGUUAAUCGGAAUUACUGGGCGUAAAGCGUGCGUAGACGGCUAUCUAAGUCGGGUGUGAAAGCCCCGGGCUUAACCUGGGAACUGCGCUUGAAACUACGGAACUCGAGUGUGGCAGAGGAAGGUGGAAUUCCACGUGUAGCGGUGAAAUGCGUAGAGAUGUGGAGGAACACCGAUGGCGAAGGCAGCCUUCUGGGCCAACACUGACGCUCAUGCACGAAAGCGUGGGGAGCAAACAGG
rnacentral:rRNA from 1 species